UACGUAGGGUGCAAGCGUUGUCCGGAAUUAUUGGGCGUAAAGAGCUCGUAGGCGGCUUGUCGCGUCGGCUGUGAAAACCUGGGGCUCAACCCCGGGCCUGCAGCCGAUACGGGCAAGCUAGAAUUCGGUAGGGGAGACUGGAAUUCCUGGUGUAGCGGUGAAAUGCGCAGAUAUCAGGAGGAACACCGGUGGCGAAGGCAGCUCUCUGGGACGGUACUGACGCUGAGACGCGAAAGCGUGGGUAGCAAACAGG
rnacentral:rRNA from 1 species